UCUCAUCCCGCUAUCCUGAAACUACAAAACAAUUUGCAUUACAAACUAUUUUCAUCUCCCCUUGAUAUCUAUCGGUGCCGUCGUGUUGGUAAGCUCACUUCCCUUCUUCUCAAGAAGAAGCGAGAGAACUCACCUCCACUAACACUAAUGCUCUAACUGUCAAACGCCUAUCGCGGGUGAUCCAGUUUCAAUUCAUUUACCGACGGUCAGCAUUUCAACCUACCGAAUUCUAACAUCGCGAUCAGUUAUGGACGGAAAAGAGACUGUAAUCGGGACUAUCAAGUGUCUCUGGACUUUUCCUAAUUUGAAACCAGCUAAGGGAUCGCUUUUUGGACUGCUCUAUCAACGGCCAUCAUGGAAUCUCAACAAAACGUGAAUCGAGUCAACCAAUUUUUGUUACGAUGAGUCGGCCGCCGAAAACACUCCGAUAGGCUUACCGUCUUCAUUGGCAAGCUCGUACGAACUGGUUCCGAUGCGAGCCCGGAUUAUGCAGGGGACAUAUAAUGCAUCAAGCUUGGAGUUAUAAUUGUCCACUGCGGACGAUUGCCGAAAAUUCCUACGCAAAACUUUUUGGCCCACCGAGUAAACUGGGGCGGCUUGUUUGGAACGAAUGUGAUAAUUUUUAAUAUUUUUUUCGUGUGCUUUCCUCAAAUUAUUAACUACCAUAGAGUAAAUU